rnacentral:rRNA from 1 species
AUACGGAGGGUGCAAGCGUUAAUCGGAAUUACUGGGCGUAAAGCGUGCGUAGGCGGUUUGCUAAGUCAGAUGUGAAAGCCCCGGGCUUAACCAGGGAACUGCAUUUGAUACUGGCAGACUAGAGUAUGAUAGAGGGGGGUAGAAUUCCUGGUGUAGCGGUGAAAUGCGUAGAUAUCAGGAGGAAUACCAGUGGCGAAGGCGGCCCCCUGGAUCAAUACUGACGCUGAGGUACGAAAGCGUGGGGAGCGAACAGGAUUAGAAACCCCAGUAGUCC